AACGUAGGAGACAAACGUUAUCCGGAGUUACUGGGCGUAAAGGGCGUGUAGGUGGUUUCGUAAGUCUGGCGUGAAAUUUUUCGGCUUAACCGGGAAAGGUCGUCGGAUACUGCGGGACUGGAGGACGGUAGAGGCGUGUGGAAUUCCGGGUGUAGUGGUGAAAUGCGUAGAGAUCCGGAGGAACACCAGUGGCGAAGGCGACACGCUGGGCCGUACCUGACACUGAACCGCGACAGCAUGGGGAGCAAACAGG
rnacentral:rRNA from 1 species